rnacentral:misc_RNA from 1 species
CACUAGCUCAUUGUUGCUUUCAAUUUGAGCAUCUGCUGGAGCAAGCUGGCAGUUUCAUAUUUUACUGUUUCAGCAUAGACUGUGCAAACAGUUGUAUUCUUUAUUAAGCAUGCUAUAUGGAAUGUGCAGAAGUUUCAGCAGUGCUACCUGGUUAGGUGUCUGAAUAGCUUGGCUUGUUUUAAGAAUGGAGGUUACCUAUAAAAGCAUUUGGUCGAGCUUGAGAAGGGUUGUGGGCAUUCCCUGCUUUUAGUCGCUGCUUCAAAUGCUAAAUUAUUGUGAAACAAAAGGAACCAGAAGCUAUGCUGUGUGUUGAAACAAAUUUUUCUGCACGUUUAGCAGUUUACAUCUGUACAUCUUCGUUAAGGAGCUUAUUCCCACAUAUAGAGUGGGAAUUGCCCAGGGUAACAUCAGUGCAUCAAAAUCGACUAAAUCUUCCUAAGCAUAGUCUAACUUACACAUAUAAGAAUGAGUAAGUGCAUAUGUGGAAUCUUAAAGAUUUGUAUUUCAUUUUUAUGCCGUGCUUUUCAGUGGAAUUGUAUAUGUAUUAUUGUUUUGCUUGUCCUUUUUUUUCUAUGCUUCUUUGAAAUUUUACGAAGAUUUUCUAAAGUUCUUUUGUUGCUUCUUCACCUUCACUCAAAACAUGAAUUCAGCUACACCUUGAUUUAUGACGAGUCUAUGUUGUGGCUAGUAAUUCUCAAGAUAAAAGGAUAAAAAAAUAGAACCACCAGGAAUUGCAGCUUGCACAGUAAGAAAAAGAGUAAUUUUAAACACAGAGUGGUGCCACGACAUUUUGUUAAUUACCACAUAACUACUUGUCAAUUAGAUAGUUGGCUAUACUUCGGAAGCACAUAGCUUUCAGUGUCAUUUUUUAUAAUUAGAUUCCCAUCAUUUAGAGGCAACAGAUGCAUGAGACAAACUGACUACAGCGUGUCAUUGUUCCUCUCUUUUCUUAUUUCCUUACCUUUCGAGCCCCAUAUCCCCUUUUACCAGCAUAAGGUUGGUGAUUAAUCUUGCAACCUUUCCAUUUGCACUUUUGCUUUAUUUGGUGCAGCUGAUGUUUCUUUCAGGACAGUACCUUGAGUUGUAUCUCUGUGCUUGUUAACGUGUGUAUACUUUGAUUACUGCUGAGUAUAUUUAGCAUUAGUCUAUGUGCCAAGUUACAUAUUGUAUGUCUAAUCUGCUUCAUUGGUUACUGUUUGUAUGCCCAUUCACAUGUCUGCACAUUUCUUACUACUUCCUCUCAAUUUUUCUCAUUAACCCAUCUUUGUAGUUAGAGAAGGUCCCCCUCUGUAUUUUCUAAACUCGGGAACCUCCUGUUGUGAUAGGUUCCUACCCUGUACCGAUAACCCCUACCACACGUCUUGAAGUAAGCUUGACUAAUUUAGCUGAUGGAUCCGCUCUUUGUUAGGCUUAGUGCUGAUCAAGCUGGAACAGCCCGACACUGUGCCUCCCUGGCGUCCUCCUGCGGUUGUGCACGAUGGAGCUGCUGAUGCCCUGCGAGCUGACAGGCCCGGUGCUCUCCAAGAGCUGCUGGCACAAGCAGCUGCCAAUGUCACCGGGUCCUCAAUGCCGCCUGCUGGCCUUCAAGCGAAGACCGCACACAAGAGCUCCAUUGUCUACGGCGCGAAAUCUGUGGACGGAAAAAGAGACCACCGCGCUCAUCGACCACUGGCGGGAUCGGCUAAGUGAUUUAAACCAGAAACGCAACGCCAGAGUGUACCACGAAAUUGCUGACGUACUCCUCCUGCAAGGAUUUCGGCGAACAGCUGCAGAGGUUAAGAACAAGAUAAGGAACCUCACUCAGCUGUACCGGCAUUACUUGAGGACAAGCCAAACAGCUCCUUCCAUUGGUGUUGACUGGCCAUACUUCAAGCGAAUCCAGUUGCUUCUGGGUUCUUCCCUGUAAAUGAGCAAACUGUUGAGCAAACUUCAGCCUCGGAAGCGCCGUUGAGGAAGUACCAAGAUUGCAGUCACAUAUGGAAAUUACAGCGCAUUCUUAGUACCCAAGCUACAUUGCAACUGUCUUGUCAAGUGGACACCUCUGGAGGGGAAAUCGCAAACCUUUUCAGCUCAGGGAAACCAGAUAGCUUUAGAAGUUGCCAUAGAACCACCAUCUCCUUGCUUCUAGAUAUGUUUGGAAAAACAAAGUAGUAUGGAUCAAUAUCUUCUCAAUAAAUGUUUGCCACUGAAA